rnacentral:rRNA from 2 species
CGCGUAGGUAACCUGCCUUGUAGCGGGGGAUAACUAUUGGAAACGAUAGCUAAUACCGCAUAACAAUGGAUGACACAUGUCAUUUAUUUGAAAGGGGCAAUUGCUCCACUACAAGAUGGACCUGCGUUGUAUUAGCUAGUAGGUGAGGUAACGGCUCACCUAGGCGACGAUACAUAGCCGACCUGAGAGGGUGAUCGGCCACACUGGGACUGAGACACGGCCCAG